rnacentral:lncRNA from 1 species
AAGGGUUCUUGAGCUUCCAUCCGAAAACUGCCACACAUCUUGAGCUCGCGGGGUACUACGCCGAACGGGGGUGUGUGAAGGACCUGGAAAGAGGUUGGAGACAGAGGAAGGAAAAGGGAAAUAAUGGAAGAACAGAAAGGACUUUUAGACACAACAGGCACAGCAGAAAAUCCAAAGGAGACAACUGAGGGGCGGCUCCUGGGCUCACAGGUACCUAGUGGAUCCCACUAAGGACAGAGCAGAAGUUUUGAACAGUGUACAAGAAUUACCUUCCAACUGAUCUAAACCUGUAAAUGCCUAAAAUUACUUCCAAGGCUCAAGCGCUUGCAGUGUUGCGUCCAAGUGAGGAAGCUCAUUAGUCAAGUAAAUGGCUGGCAAUGUCUGUCUUAGUCUUUUUAGGUUUGUUUGUUUUUUAUUAUUAUUAUUUUUUUUUAAUGCUCAUCAUUGAGAUUGUGUUCAAUUGUUUUCAGCAUUCUUGCAACGUUUCCCUUAAUAAAGACCUGUAAACUGGGAAAA